UUGGCUUCCCGCCCUGCAGCUCUCCUCCCCGCCCCGUCCCUGCCCAGAGUCUUCACAGGGAUUGGCCGAUCGUCCCCUGGUCUGUCCCCGCCCCGCGCCGCCUUCCUAGUCUCUGUGCAGUGAGGCGGUCACCGGCCUUUUUGUCCCGGGAGGUUGACGGGAGGAUCCGGCUCUACUUUUUAGCAGGUUCCUGGCGGGUCUCGCCAGCGGGUCCAAGAACCCGGAUCAGGGCGGACCUGGGCCCCCUGAAGUUUAUCUACAGCACAUGUGGAGGUCAGCAGCCUGGAGUUCCAAAUGCAGGAUGAACACUGCAUGUACAAGCCAUUGAAGCUGGGGUGCUCCAUGCUGAUAUUUCACCUGACACCAAUUGUCACUAGUUACAACAGGAAAGUGCCUCUAAAGAGGUGAGACAUUCUUAAGUGUACCUGGUGUGGUUAAAAACAGUGAACGUUGUUGGAUGGCAUUCGGCCAUCCAACAAGAAGGCAGGGAUCUUCAUUAGAAGAGCACAUCGAACCUUAGUAACAGUGUGUGACAAGUUUCGACUUGCUUGGGGCAGUCAGUCAGAGCCACAGUUGAGAGGAGUGUUUUUAAAGUCCCAUAAAUGAUGGAUCAUGAGCAACGUAUUAACAUGAAAUUUUGUUUCAAACUGCAAAAAAGUGCUAAAGAAACACAUGAAAUGUUAAAAUUAGUAUAUGGUGAUGCUGCAGUGACCAGAAAGACUGUUUACAAGUGGUUUGAGCGAUUUCGUAAGGGUUGUGAAUCUGUUAACGACGAGGAGAGAUCUGGACGUCCUUCAACAUCAAAAACUCGAGAGAAUGUUGAAAGAGUAAGCGAAAUGAUUCGAUCAAACAAGAGAUUGACUAUUAGGAAAAUUUCUGAGGAUCUGAACAUUUCUUAUGGCACUGUACAAAGCAUUUUAUCGACAGAUUUGAACAUGAGGCGAGUGAGUCCGAAAUGUAUCCAUACACAGCCACAGGAGUUAGAGCAGUAAGGCAGUGCCGGUGGUGACAGACAGGGCAGUGUUUCCCUUUCGUUUAACUUACUGACUCUGAGGUAGGUAUUAUUCUCCCAUGUUAAAGAUAAAUGGUUAGGAGGGAAUGCGGGUUCCCACUACCUGUGAGUAGCUCUGAACAAAGAGCCUCACAUGCGUGACUGGCUAUGUGAGUAAUGUGAUGCCUUGAGAUUUGAUGUCUCUGUAUAACAUAAAUAUUUAUUUAAGUAGAUUAGUCCAGUUUGUGGGGAGCAAAACCACACAGCUGUUAAAAAUAUAAGCAUUUCCAUAAUUUUUUUUCUGGUAUUGGGGAUUGAACUCAGGAUCUUGCACUUGCGAGGCAGGCAUGAUGCCACUGAGCUAAAGCCCUGGCCCAGCGCCUCAUAAUAUUUUAAUUGCAUUAACCUAGUUUCCCAAAAUUUGUACCAAAAGGAGCAUCUGUCAACAUGUUAAUUUUCAAAAUGUAUGUGAUAUAAUGUGUAAAAAGGAUCUAAAGGAUGUACUAGACUAGGACAUGUAAGUAUCAGAGACGAUAGUUUUCAUGUGGGAAGAAAUGAAAGUCUGGGAAGAUGCUCAGAGCCCACACAAGUUCAUUCCUUGUGCUGUCUGCAUGUCUAGUAAUUUGAGAUCUUUUUCAUUAUCUUGUAUGCCAAUUACAUAUAAUUAAUUUUCCAGAAAUUUUAAAUAAAGAUAUAUUUAUUUGAUGUC